rnacentral:rRNA from 1 species
UACGAAGGGGGCUAGCGUUGCUCGGAAUCACUGGGCGUAAAGGGUGCGUAGGCGGGUCUUUAAGUCAGGGGUGAAAUCCUGGAGCUCAACUCCAGAACUGCCUUUGAUACUGAAGAUCUUGAGUUCGGGAGAGGUGAGUGGAACUGCGAGUGUAGAGGUGAAAUUCGUAGAUAUUCGCAAGAACACCAGUGGCGAAGGCGGCUCACUGGCCCGAUACUGACGCUGAGGCACGGAAAGCGUGGGGAGCAAACA